rnacentral:rRNA from 1 species
GACGAACCGUGCGAACGUUGUUCGGAAUCACUGGGCUUAAAGGGCGCGUAGGCGGGCUGCCAAGUCCGUGGUGAAAUCCCCCGGCUCAACCGGGGAACGGCCUCGGAUACUGGCGGCCUCGAGGGGGGUAGGGGCGUGCGGAACUGUGGGUGGAGCGGUGAAAUGCGUUGAUAUCCACAGGAACUCCGGUGGCGAAGGCGGCACGCUGGACCCCUUCUGACGCUGAGGCGCGAAAGCCAGGGGAGCGAACGGG